UACGUAGGGGGCGAGCGUUAAUCGGAAUUACUGGGCGUAAAGCGUGCGCAGGCGGUUUUGUAAGCCAGAUGUGAAAUCCCCGGGCUUAACCUGGGAAUGGCAUUUGGGACUGCAAGGCUUGAGUGCGGCAGAGGAGACUGGAAUUCCUGGUGUAGCAGUGAAAUGCGUAGAUAUCAGGAGGAAUACCGAUGGCGAAGGCAGGUCUCUGGGCUGACACUGACGCUCAUGCACGAAAGCGUGGGGAGCAAACAGG
rnacentral:rRNA from 1 species